CGAAUAUCCCCGCCGCGUUCAAGUCGCCUCGUGCAAUGCCCGAAUUAGGGUUUCAUGCGUCAUGAAUCCGUGCAUCGGAUUGCCUCGCAAUCCCAGUAGACUACAGCGAUUCUCCAGCAACCGAGGUUGUGUUUCCCGUGAUUCGCUUGAUCAGCAGAAAGGUUUUUGACCAUAAGUUGAGCUCAUUUGGUCGCAGCGCUGAGCAGAAACAAGUGCUUGGAGCGCUGUUGGUUUGGAUCCAGAAUGGCGUGACUGGAGACAGAGGCAUGGUUUACAGAAGAAGAAGAAUGGAAUUGUAUCUAGAAACAAGCGUUCGAGGGAAUGUUUGAGCUUGAAUGGCAGAUAUGGCUCGAUUGCGGUGUCCAUGGCGUGUCGGUGCACUCUCGAUCGGAUUCUCUGUUGCCAUCAUCUUUUUCGUGUUGGUCGAGAUGCAUUUGUUCGUGACACAGCAGAAGUAUGCCAAUCGAGCAUCAUUUGCAGUAGAAAGUGAAGAGGGUUGUCAACGCGAAUUGCGGAAGCUCGGGGAUAAAAUUUUGACACAACAGACAACCCUUUUUUGAAUUAAAGAAGUUUGAUGGUUUUUGGUUUGUGAUUUGUAACAUUGUCGUUAUGUCUGGUGUAGAUGAGAAAGCUCGGCUGGAGGAAGAUAAUAGAGUUUUGGGCACUGAACUUGAGGAUUUUCAAAAUAAGGAACAAUUGGCAAAAAUCUCUGGCAGUUCGAAGCUGGGACCAGUUGCUGCUGUGGUGAUUAUGGCUUGCAACCGUCCUGAUUAUUUGGAGCGUACAUUGAAGUCUGUAACUAAAUAUCACAAAGAUGUGGCGGAGAAAUUUCCACUUUUUGUUUCUCAGGAUGGCUCGAACCAGGAUGUCAUGGAUACAGCUCGAAGCUUUUCUUCAGUGAAUUUCCUGCAGCAUUUAGAUGAAAAUCCUCCCAAGACAAGGAACCCUGGAGAGAUAAUCGCCUAUUACAAAAUUGCAAGUCAUUACAAGUGGGCUUUAACACAACUUUUUAACAAGCGGGACUUCCGAAGGGUCGUCAUCUUAGAAGAUGACAUGGAAAUCUCUCCCGACUUUUUCAGUUACUUUGAGGCAACUGCUCCUUUAUUGGACACGGACAAGACUUUGCUUGCUAUUUCAUCAUGGAAUGAUAAUGGUCAAGAGAAAUUUGUAUCUGAUCCAGAGCAAUUGUAUCGCUCUGACUUUUUUCCAGGUCUAGGUUGGAUGCUCACGAAAUCCACCUGGGAAGAACUUGCUCCAAAGUGGCCCAAUGCCUACUGGGAUGAUUGGCUAAGACUGAAGGAGAAUAGGAAAGGUCGCCAGGUUAUCCGACCUGAAGUUUGCCGGACCUACAAUUUUGGAGAGCAGGGAUCAAGCUUAGGGCAGUUCUAUGAGCAGUACUUGAAGUCUAUCAAAUUGAACAAUGUGAACGUUGAUUGGAGGUCGAAGGAUUUGAAUUACUUGAAAAAGGGACAAUUCAAUCCAAUCUUUAAUUCACUUGUUUCCAAAGCAGCUAUUAUACCAGCAUCACAGGCACUAACAGAGGCAAAUUACGGAGAAGGAGACAUUCGGGUCCAAUACUAUUCCUUGGUGGAGUUCAAAUACCUUGCUCAUGAGUUCGGUAUAUUUGAAGAUACAAAGGACGGUAUACCAAGGACAGCAUAUAAUGGGGUGAUAGUUUUUAGAUGGAAGGGUCAAAAGCGUGUAUUUCUCACCAAUUUCUUUCAGCAGUUAGAUACCAUAGAAACUCUGUAAAUGAUUAGUAUAGAUUAAGAUCCUGCAUGUUCCUUUAUGAACCAAAACCAUUAUUCGAAGCUUACUCAAAGUUGCAUGUAUGUGUACAUAUAGUAUACCACUGGAUGGAACAUCUGAAUUAAAUGGGAACAUUUUUUGGUUGAAA